UGCACCACGGUGGCUGAAGUUAGAACUGCCUGCACCAGCAGCAGCACCAUCAGAAUCAGCAGCAGGAUGUCGUAGGACUGCUGUUAACACACACCCACACACGCACACACACGCAAACACAUAUAGAUGAAAUGACAUGAUUAUGAGAGCUUUCUCAACGAGUCAAUUUCACACUUCCUUUAGAAUCUGUUCCGGGGUGAGAGAGGCAACACUUACGAGAGAAACCUGCACAUCGCAUACUGCUGCUGCUGGGUUUCUGCUUCAUUUCACUCACCUUGGCUGUGGGCACUUCAUGCAGGAAAAUUUCAAUAAAGCUGAUCACACUGCAAGAGAGGAAGCCAGAGGCUGAAAAGAGCAGCGGAGACGUCACGCUGCUGAUGGCAAUAAGAACCUCCACCUGAGACGACAGACAGGUUUCAUGUAAAUGAUGGUGUGAUGUGAGCAGUGUGGAGCUGCCAAAUAGUUGAGCUGUAGUGUCUUCUUGCUUCCUGCUGCUGACUUGAUGAAAAUAAUGACACCACUGUGCUUUUGAACGACACAUUUCAGCUUCUCCUAGCUUGCAACCUGCAUGCUGAAAACUGCAAGUCUGGACUAAUACUUGGAUCGUGCUGUACGGCCGCUCUAUUGUUUCUGUAACUUUAAGAACUAAAGGAUUUUAAUGCCUUGGCUUACCUACCUGAUACAAAAUAAGAUUUAUCCUGUUCCUAUUUUGCAAGGACUGUCAGGGGUUGAUCUUGUUUGGGUUUGGAUGUUUCCUUGUGUUAAUGCCUUGGAUCCUUCCUGUGUAUAUUCUGUGUUACAAGUUAUCAAAUGUCCUCCUUGUGUUUAGUGAUCCAUGUCUCUUGACGUAGUCCUAUGUGUAUAUUCUUGUGUUUCUUGGUCCUGUCCUGUUUCCUGUUUUCUUUUGUAGUUUUUGAUCCCUGUUUCAAUUUUUGUGUACUUCCUCCCCUUGUGUGUUUCGCUCCUUUUUGAUUAGCCUGAUUAGUUUCACCUGUGUCCUGUGCUCCACACCUGCGUUGAUUACUCUGUUUAUUUAGUUUCUGUGUUUCCCCUGUCCUGUGUUGGAUCAUUGUAAGUCUUCCUCGUGUUCAUCUUGUAUUUCUUUUGUCCUAGU